CGCCAUCUUCCGGAAAUGGAAAAGCGAGGGUGAUGAUAGCAAACAUGGCGGCCUCUAUUGGAAAGACCUAAGAAUUUGUGGACAGUUGAUGGCAUUGGGAAAAACUCAUCAAUGAUGCAUUUGCAAACUUUAAGAGGUGCUUUGUGGAAAUAAAUCCAAUGCCUGGGUCCAAGACAUAAAAGAUGAUUUUUAUUAUUUGUAAAUGUUGCGAUUUGUA